UUUUUGGAGAGUUUGAUCUUGGCUCAGGACGAACGCUGGCGGCGUGCCUAAUACAUGCAAGUCGAGCGCGGGAAGCAGACAAACGCUCUUCGGGGCGUGCGCCUGUGGAGCGAGCGGCGGACGGGUGAGUAACACGUGGGCAACCUGCCUGUAAGACUGGGAUAACUCGUGGAAACGCGAGCUAAUACCGGAUAACACUUCCGGCUGCAUGGCCGGGAGUUGAAAGGCGGCAUAAGCUGCGCACUUACAGAUGGGCCCGCGGCGCAUUAGUUAGUUGGUGAGGUAAGAGCUCACCAAGGCCACGAUGCGUAGCCGACCUGAGAGGGUGAUCGGCCACACUGGGACUGAGACACGGCCCAGACUCCUACGGGAG
rnacentral:rRNA from 1 species